UUGUGCUUAAAAUUGAAUUAGAAGAAAGUGAGGAAGCUAUGAUUGCUAGGUUUGUGAGUGGUCUUAGGAAGGAUAUUCAAGACAUUGUUGAGUUACAAGAGUAUUCAUCAUUGGGUUCCUUAGUUCAUCUUGCAAUGAAGGUGCAAGCCGCUAUGAGUGUGCAAGCCGCCACUUGAGGUAACCAUGGAAACUCUCAAGAUAAGACUAGUGAGGAAGGCACAAAGCUC
rnacentral:lncRNA from 1 species